CUUAAGCAUAUCAAUAAGCGGAGGAAAAGAAACCAACAGGGAUUGCCCUAGUAACGGCGAGUGAAGCGGCAACAGCUCAAAUUUGAAAUCUGGCGCAAGCCCGAGUUGUAAUUUGUAGAGGAUGCUUCGGGGCAGCGACCGGUCUAAGUUCCUUGGAACAGGACGUCAGAGAGGGUGAGAAUCCCGUAUGUGACCGGCCCGCGCCCUGUACGUAGCUCCUUCGACGAGUCGAGUUGUUUGGGAAUGCAGCUCUAAAUGGGAGGUAAAUUUCUUCUAAAGCUAAAUACCGGCCAGAGACCGAUAGCGCACAAGUAGAGUGAUCGAAAGAUGAAAAGUACUUUGGAAAGAGAGUUAAAAAGCACGUGAAAUUGUUGAAAGGGAAGCGCCUGCAACCAGACUUCGCGGCAGUGUUCCGCCGGUCUUCUGACCGGUUCAUUCUCUGCCGCGAGGCCAUCAUCGUCUGGGCCCGCCGGAUAAGACCUUGGGAAUGUAGCUCACCUCCGGGGGAGUGUUAUAGCCCAGGGUGAUGCGGCGCGGCUCGGGCGAGGUCCGCGCUUCGGCAAGGAUGAUGGCGUAAUGGUUGUCGGCGGCCCGUCUUGAAACACGGACCAAGGAGUCUAACAUCUAUGCGAGUGUUCGGGUGUCAAACCCCUACGCGUAAUGAAAGUGAACGGAGGUGGGAACCGCAAGGUGCACCAUCGACCGAUCCUGAUGUCCUCGGAUGGAUUUGAGUAAGAGCAUAGCUGUUGGGACCCGAAAGAUGGUGAACUAUGCCUGAAUAGGGUGAAGCCAGAGGAAACUCUGGUGGAGGCUCGCAGCGGUUCUGACGUGCAAAUCGAUCGUCAAAUUUGGGUAUAGGGGCGAAAGACUAAUCGAACCAU
rnacentral:rRNA from 1 species